rnacentral:rRNA from 1 species
GAUGAACGCUGGCGGCGUGCCUAAUACAUGCAAGUCGAGCGAACAGACGAGGAGCUUGCUCCUCUGACGUUAGCGGCGGACGGGUGACUAACACGUGGAUAACCUACCUAUAAGACUGGGAUAACUUCGGGAAACCGGAGCUAAUACCGGAUAAUAUAUUGAACCGCAUGGUUCAAUAGUGAAAGACGGUUUUGCUGUCACUUAUAGAUGGAUCCGCGCCGCAUUAGCUAGUUGGUAAGGUAACGGCUUACCAAGGCGACGAUGCGUAGCCGACCUGAGAGGGUGAUCGGCCACACUGGAACUGAGCCACGGUCCAGACUCCUACGGGAGGCAGCAGUAGGGAAUCUUCCGCAAAGGGCGAAAGCCUGACGGAGCAACGCCGCGUGAGUGAUGAAGGUCUUCGGAUCGUAAAACUCUGUUAUUAGGGAAGAACAAAUGUGUAAGUAACUAUGCACGUCUUGACGGUACCUAAUCAGAAAGCCACGGCUAACUACGUG